rnacentral:tRNA from 1 species
AAGAAUUUAGUUAAAAAUAUAACAUUAAUUUGUCAAGUUAAAAUUAUUUUCUAAAUAAUUCUUA